UGGCAAUUUUCGAAAAUAUUGCCAGAGAGAUUGAAAUAAUUCACCACUGCCCCUCCUCCAGCUUCUCCUGGGCAUGCCACAUACACUGUGGGAAGGGGAAAGGCUGACCUAGAACACCUUCAAGUGGAUGCUACGGAACCCACCAGGGCAGAGCCUCAGCUCUCAGCCUCCCGGAAUGAACCAUGAACCCAAAGCAAAGAGCAGAACUCCUUUGACACCUCCAGCUUCACAGACAAAGAUGAAUCUCCUAAGGCAUUUCUGAAACAUGCAGUUCUGAAGUCUGGCCAGCCACACCAAAGAGCUUUUCGCAAGAAGGCACAGGCCAGGUAGAGGCAGCUGU
rnacentral:lncRNA from 1 species